rnacentral:tmRNA from 1 species
GGGGGCGACUGGUUUCGACACGAUAGCUUUGAGGGAGUAAGCAGGCCGUGGUCUCCUCACCACGUUAAACAGGGGUACCGUCAACUUUAAUUGACAACAAGCAGUACGCACUCGCUGCUUAAUUAGCAGCGACGUCGACCCGGGGAGACGUCCCCAUCGCCGGUAAGACGCCACAAACGGGACUGCCCCUGCGCACGUAAUCGGUAUGGCGCAGGCUAAGACUGAACCGAUUGGAUGUUGGUAACCGCGUUGUCAGGGAAGCCGGCAUCGAGACUAUCUGAUGACUGAGCUUGGAGAAAGCUCCCAGGGGGCUGUCGUGGACCGGAGUUCGAUUCUCCGCGCCUCCACCA